UACGUAGGGUGCGAGCGUUAAUCGGAAUUACUGGGCGUAAAGCGUGCGCAGGCGGUGAUGUAAGACAGGUGUGAAAUCCCCGGGCUUAACCUGGGAACUGCAUUUGUGACUGCAUCGCUGGAGUGCGGCAGAGGGGGAUGGAAUUCCGCGUGUAGCAGUGAAAUGCGUAGAUAUCUGAAGGAACAUCAGUGGCGAAAGCGACUUCCUGGACCAAUACUGACGCUCAUGUGCGAAAGCGUGGGGAGCAAACAGG
rnacentral:rRNA from 1 species